UCGGUAGCUCAGUCGGUAGAGCAGAGGACUGAAAAUCCUUGUGUCGGCAGUUCGAUUCUGUCCCGAG
rnacentral:tRNA from 1 species